rnacentral:rRNA from 1 species
UACAGAGGGUGCUAGCGUUGUUCGGAAUCAUUGGGCGUAAAGGGCGUGUAGGCGGUUUGUUAAGUCAUGUGUGAAAGCCCCCGGCUCAACCGGGGAACGACGCAUGAAACUGGCAGCUAGAGUACCGAAGAGGGGGGGUGGAAUUCCCGGUGUAGCGGUGAAAUGCGUAGAUAUCGGGGAGGAACACCCUGUGGCGAAAGGCGGCCCCCUGGUCGGAUACUGACGCUGAGACGCGAAAAGCGUGGGGAGCAAACAGG